CUGGGUUUAAAGGGUACGUAGGCGGUUGUGCCAAGUCUGGGGUGAAAGUUUGCAGCUCAACUGUAAAAAUUGCCUUGGAUACUGGUCGGCUAGAGUAGUGGAGCGGUGGCUGGAAUUUAUAGUGUAGCGGUGAAAUGCUUAGAUACUAUGAGGAACACCAAUUGCGAAGGCAGGUCACUGGUCACUAACUGACGCUGAGGUACGAAAGUGUGGGGAUCAAACAGGAUUAGAUACCCUGGUAG
rnacentral:rRNA from 1 species